CCAAGGAAAAUUGGAUUAGGGUCCGGCUCAAUAGUUACCCCACCUAUCCCACACCAUUUGCGUGGAACAGAGAUCUUGUUAAGAACUAGACAAUACCCCACAUGUUAUCGUAGAAUUAAACAUUUGAUUUCUAAAUAGAUAUUAACUAUGUGAAACUUUAUGGAGAAACACAAACAAAAAUAUUCUGUCAUAAUUUUUUUAACACAUAUCACAAUCAAAUAUGUUGGGAUUUAAAAUCCGUUUACAAUACACUAAUGCAUGUUGCAUGGUAGAUAGACACUCAUGCCUAGGUUUCACGUGUGUUAGUGGACGAAGAUAACAAAUCCAUGACUACAAUAUUUUUUGUUUGGAAUCAAUAAAAUCUAUUUUUUAUCUGAAAAGAAUACAAUCCAGGCAAGAAAAUUGUGUUUGGAUCUUCACUUCUUCAGUGUAACUGCUUGCCUGCAGACGCGGCUACGCGUUAUUCAUCUCAAGACGGCCUACAACAAAUAAGUAUGUAGUAGCACGACGAGAUGAAUCAUGAAUGGGUUGAGCUCAAGGACACACAAACCUAGCUGCUUGCUUCAUGCUAAACGGACUUUAGGCAUGCAACGUUCAUGAAUGGCCAUUUACAUAAAGCAUAAUAAAAGCGUGAACAACUCAUUUGUUGGGCCUAUAACUUGAGUUGGUGUCCCGUCUCAGUCCAUAAAUAAGCUUCGCUCAUGUAGUCAUAUAGGAAAUCACAUGUUUUAUUCGUGUCAUCUAUGACUUGGGAUUUCCCACAAAAAAGCCGAUACAAGUUAGGAUAUUAGAGGAAAACUGAUAUGUUACACCCCCGCCACUCAUACAACUGUGAAUCUACGACUCUUCCAUUGGGUUUAUUGUUGCCAGGGAUGUGUCUUUGUCACCGCCUAGGCCGGCCCAGGAACCGACAAAAAUGGGGUUCAUUCUGCUCAUGGUAAACUCAUCAUCGUUGAUGAAGUGUGGCAUGGGGCCAUAGGAGAACUUGCCAUCGUCGAGCCAAGAAAUCAAUGAUAACACACCCUUUUUGUGCACAAUAGUGGCAGACGCUCCCUUGAUUAAGCUAAUAAUGUCGGAAGCAAAAGGAGGCUCCUGAAGCGAGGUAUACAUGGUACUAGUGGCAGGGGCGCGCCCUUGGCGCGCCUCUUGAGCGUUCAUGUGCGUGUUUGUAUACUUAUAUUUAGGAACGGAGAGUGUACGAGAUAUUUAGCGAUAACAUAGAAUUCUGAAUUUGUAUGCUUCUUGUUCGUACAAAGAAUUGUUAAUUAUGUUUGUAUAUUGUGUGGCAUUAAGAACAUAUUUUCUUUUAGUAUAUGUAACUAACAUAGUCUUAUUAGUUUUAAAGGUCAAUGUGAAGAUAUGAAAAAAAGUAAUGCUUAGUAUUAUAUUUGUAGAAGCGAUUAAAUUGAAUGAAGAGGUAUUAUUAGUAGAAGUGCGGACAUAUUUGUAUUAAACAUGCAAAGGAAACAUACUUGGUCUUAUUAAUACAAAUAGCAAAGAAAGUGCUUCGGGCAGUGAACACUUAUAAGACGUCUAAUCGGAUGUUGCCCAUUCAUGGUGGCAAAUGCAACAAUACGAAGUAGAGUCUGCUCCAUUGCGUCAUCGGUGCGGUGUGCUGUCAUCGGAUUGGCAAAAUAAGUCAUACGUUGAUGUGGAAAAACUAUAGGCGAGCUUCAUGAUGGCUUCAGUUGACGGUUCCUGCUUGGUUGUGUGAAUGCAUAAAUGUAUUAGUAAAUUAUAGUUCUGGUAGAUAUUAUACUUAUCAAAAAAAUUGAAGUAAGAAAAGUUUUUUUGUAUGCCAUACCUUAUAUAUAGGGUGGUUAUAAUGCCCUGGUGCCUACAGAGCUAGUAGGUCAUUGAUGUUUGCUGCAGUUCGCUGCACAUCAAUCAGUAUGCUUGCUGUCCUGACGGUCACAUCUGGAUCUUUGUGAAG
rnacentral:lncRNA from 1 species